AAGCAGCGCGAUGGAAGUAGUUGGGUGUCCGCAGCACGGGACCUUAUGUAUUCUGAAGACCGGCGUCCGAGAUGGCCCGAAUAAAGGAAAGAGCUUCUACGUGUGCCGGGCGGACACAUGCAGCUUCGUGCGGGCCACCGACAUUCCUGUUUCUCAUUGUUUAUUGCAUGAGGACUUUGUGGUAGAGCUUCAGGGUCUGUUUCUAUCACAGGGCAAGAAAGAAUACAGGUUAUUCUUCCGAUGUGUUAGAAGUAAGGCAGAGGGGAAGCAAUGGUGUGGAAAUAUCCCAUGGCAGGAUCCUAAUUCCAAAGAACAUUCUGUAACCAGUAAGUCUCAGCAUGCCUCUGAGCCAUCUCGUUAUCCUUCCAGCCAGCAGAGAAACCCGUUCAAGUUAGUUGACAAGAAUCAAGAACCAUCCCUCCGGAAGCAGUUCAUCAAAGGUGAAGAUGAGGAAAAGACAGCUGGUAGGAAGCAAAGGGAAAAGGGAGAUCCACUCCUGGAUCAAAAGAAGGAACAGAAGCCUGAAUCUAAGUGCUGGAUGGAGAAAGAUCUCUCAUCUGGCCUGGCGGUAAAGGAAAAACAAUCUGCUGUUCGAGAGACGCGGCAAGGGGAGAAGACAGAGUUUCAUAGUGCAGCAAAGGAGGUUGAAGGGAUGCACAAAAGAAACCUUUUUGAGAUGAAAUCCAAACAGGUCCAUGGGAAUGAGCUGAGAGGACCAUCUGCAUCUCAGGAGAAGUCAAAUGGUGAGAGUCAUUCCGUCCAAAAAGAAUCAGAACCUCCAAGGGAAAAGGAAACUAAGACUUUGCCUCGAAUUGUUCACAGUGAACACCCAAUAAGCCAGCCCCUGAAAGGGGGACACCUCAGCAAGGAGCACCCCAAGAACUGGGAGGCUAGAGAAACAAAGGCAAAGAAUGACCCAAGCACGCAGACCCGCCAUAAGAGUCUGCUCCAGGGCCAUUUGCAGGCACAGCUGGAGACCCGGGACACGCCUGCUCCAAAGGGACCGGCUGCUCAGCCUGCACCGCCGGCCGCAGGGCAUCCCCAGGGAGAGAGGCGAGAUGCCGAUACAAGCGGUGGUGACAGUGAGGACGAUGACGUUGUUUUUGUUUCCUCUAAGCCAGGGAGCCCCUUGCUCUUUGACUUGACUCUAGACUCACAGAAGAAGGAGAACCUUAAAUGCCCUGGUCAGAGUGUGCAAAGAAAAAUUCCUCCUGACUCAGGCGUUUCCAAGAAGGAAGAAUCUUCAGACCCAGCAGCCCAGCGUGUGUACCUAACAACACAGCUGAAACAAAAGCAGAGAACACUGGCAUCUGUGAACAUCCAGGCUCUUCCAGAUAAGGGCCAGAAGUUGUUCAAGCAACUUCAGGAGCUGGAGGAUGCGCUCAGUGCCCUGGCCCUCUCCCCAGAGCAAGGCACUAAUGAGAAGAGUAACACUCAAGUACCACAGCAGAGUAACUUCACCAAAACGACCACUGACCCUCCCCACUUGGUGCCUCCCAAACCCCUGCAGGGCCAGGAUCUCCAGCCUCUGGGUUGUCUAGGACUGAAGGCUGCCCGCCAGGAGGCUGCUGGAGGGACUGAUCAGUGCUGUGGAGGCCCUAUGAGCCAAGAUCGCCUUCGCUCAGUGUGGCAAAUCACAGGUGAAGCCAUUGAUGAGCUGCAUCGAUCACUUGAGUCACGUCCUGGCGAGACAGCUGUGGCAGAGGAUCCGGCUGGGUUGAAGAUCCCUUUGCUGCUGCACCAGAAGCAGGCAUUAGCCUGGCUGCUAUGGCGGGAAAGUCAGAAGCCACGAGGAGGAAUUCUGGCGGAUGAUAUGGGGUUAGGAAAAACCCUGACAAUGAUUGCACUCAUCCUGACCCAGAAGAAUCAAGAGAAAAACAAAGAAAAGGACAAAACCACGGCUUUGGCUUGGCUUUCCAAAAAUGACUCCUCUGAGUUCACUUCCCAUGGAACACUAAUCAUCUGUCCUGCUUCCCUGAUCCAUCAUUGGAAAAAUGAGGUGGAGAAAUGUGUGAGCAACAACAAACUAAGAGUCUAUCUCUAUCAUGGGCCAAACCGGGAUCAACGUGCAAAAGCCCUCUCCACAUUUGACAUCGUGGUCACUACCUACAGCCUUCUGGCCAAGGAGAUUCCCACAAAGAAGCAAGAGGGAGAGAUGCCAGGUGCAAACCUCAGUGUGGAGGGUAUCUCAUCACCUUUGCUUCGAGUAGUCUGGGCUCGAAUCAUAUUGGAUGAAGCUCACAAUGUUAAGAAUCCCCGAGUGCAGACUUCCUUGGCUGUGUGUAAGCUCCAAGCCCAAGCCCGUUGGGCUGUCACUGGAACCCCCAUUCAGAACAACUUGUUGGACGUGUAUUCACUGCUGAAAUUUCUCCGUUGUUCUCCAUUUGAUGAACUCAGUCUGUGGAGGAGUCAGGUUGACAAUGGUUCAAAGAAAGGAGAAGAACGGUUAAAUAUUUUAACCAAGAGCCUUUUGCUGAGGAGAACAAAAGACCAGCUGGACCCCACCGGCAAGCCCUUGGUGGUGCUCCCCCAGCGUAAAUUUCAGUUGCACCAUUUAAAGCUUUCUGAAGAUGAAGAGAAUGUUUAUAGUGUCCUUUUUGCAAGAUCAAGGUCAGCUCUGCAGUCCUAUCUAAAAAGACAUGAAAGUGGGGGCAGCCAAUCUGGAAGAAGCCCUGAUAAUCCAUUCAGUAGAGUGGCCCAGGAGUUUGGGUCCAGUGGGCCUGGGUGCUCCGUGGCAGCAGACUCGCAGACAUCUAGCACCGCCCACAUACUGUCACAGUUGCUGAGACUCCGCCAGUGUUGUUGUCAUCUUUCUCUACUGAAGUCGGCCCUGGAUCCGAAAGAGCUGAAGAGUGAAGGCCUGGUCCUUUCCCUGGACGAGCAGCUCAGAGCCUUGACCUUGUCCGAAUUCCAUAACUCAGAGCCGUCUGCCUCCGUUUCCCUUAAUGGCAAAUGCUUCAAGGUGGAGCUUUUUGACGACAGGAGAGAGAGCACCAAGAUUUCAUCUCUGUUGGCAGAAUUGGAGGCAAUCCGAAGAAAUUCAGGGUCCCAAAAGAGUGUCAUCGUCUCUCAGUGGACCAGCAUGCUGAAGGUUGUAACCUUGCACCUUAAGAGGCAUGGACUGACUUACUCCACCAUCGAUGGCUCUGUUAACCCCAAACAGAGAAUGGACUUGGUGGAGGCAUUUAACAACUCCAGGGGCCCUCAGGUUAUGCUAAUCUCUCUCUUGGCUGGAGGUGUUGGUCUAAACCUGACCGGAGGAAACCAUCUUUUUCUUCUGGACAUGCACUGGAAUCCGUCACUUGAAGAUCAAGCUUCUGACCGAAUUUACCGAGUAGGGCAGCAGAAAGAUGUUGUCAUACACAGAUUUGUUUGUGAGGGAACAGUGGAAGAGAAGAUCUUGCAGCUCCAAGAGAAAAAGAAAGAUUUGGCCAAACAGAUUCUAUCAGGAUCUGGAGAAGUUGUCACCAAGCUCACCUUGGCCGAUCUCAAAGUCCUUUUUGGCAUCUAACUUCCUGUUUAUGGGGCUCAGAAUAGUGCCAUUGUUGGUUUGUAUUAGGAUCUGGGGAGAAUGACCUAACCCUGGUCCUUUGAGCUCUCGUUGGCAUUCAGUUUCACCUUCAAGCCCUCCUCAAAGUGAGGAUCAGUUAUCAUGUUAACCACUUGGUUAACCAGUCAUGUUAAUCAAUCAGCGUAUUUAACGUGUGACAUAGAAACCAAUAAAUUACUUCAGAUAAGAGAAAAUGCUUUAGAGUUAGAGAAUUUGGAAAACAGCCCUGGGAGAGUUGUACCUAAGCUUCAGUAAAAGCUCAAAAAGCCCUCUGUUGCUUUUCUCUUCUCAGCUGGUGGGGACCCAAUGUUACUGCCUUUUCUAACACAGGCUCCAUCCCAUCUCUUCAUCUCCUGCCAACGAGGCUGCUCAUAUAACCAUCUCUUUAUGGGCUGAGCAGAAGCGGGUCUCUACGUAAUAUGUAGAUGAGACUACAUUUCCUAGUCUUCACUGCAGUUACAUGGGUCCGUAUUACUGAGUUCUAAGUCAGUGGAAUAUGGAGAGAAGUGAUGUAAGUCAUUUCUUAUCUGCCUUUCUAAAACCUUGCAAAUGAUUCU